UUUGCUGCACCGCUGCUCGACACUCCGCUCAGGCUGAUUUCACCUCACUAUCUGAUACCAAGCUUACUGUUUUCUCUUCGUGCUUCCAGCCCACAGCUCAUCUGCGUAAAGGUUACCGUCGGGUGAAAUCAAGAGAGAGAGACGCAAAGAAAAGGCUGCGGGGCAGUAAUCAUCCUCACACGGAAUUACCUGACGAGUUGAAUAUAUAGAAGUCUGAGUUCAUGCCGGAUUUCGAGCACUUCAGAUUUUCCUAUUCUAGCAUGAAUCCGGUUCUGGGGGAGAGCGGCUUCCUGGCCCCACAGCAGCAGCACCACCACCAGAUGACGGGCCAGACCGAUUCCGCCAUCCCGGAGCCCGGCUACUUCCUGGGGGACCACGCUGGGUUCGGGCCUGAUGGGUUGUCCGGGCUGGACCUGGGCGCCUUGCCACCGUCGGGCCUCGCCUACCUGCACCUGAGCAGCCCCCUGCACCGCGUCCCCCCUGCGGCCACGGCGCUGCGCAACGACCUGGGAUCCAACAUCAGCGUGCUGAAGACUCUGAACCUGCGCUUCCGCUGCUUUUUGGCCAAAGUGCACGAGCUGGAGCGCAGAAACAAGGUGUUAGAGAAGCAGCUGCAGCAGGCUCUGGAGGAUAAUAAAGGAGGGGAAGGACACCCGAGGCCCCUGACUAAAGAGAUGGGGGUGCAGACUGGAUUUAUCGGGCCUAUCCCAGGCAGGCCGGGCCUCAUCCCGCUCCAAAACGCCAACAACCCGGCCUACCUGCCCGGCGGCCUCCUCUCUCCCACCCUGAACCCCCUUCCUCUCUUUGACAACAAACACCUGCUGGGGAGCAACCUGACCCCCUUUACGGAUUCAAACUCCAACCUCACCACUUGCGGUUUCUCCAUCAGCCCGGCGCUGAGUCCCUCCGACCCCUUCAAACCCAUCACCAACAUCAACGAGAAAUACGCAGAUCACACCGGGACAAACACCGACAACACCCUUCCUCCUACUCCCCAUCCUCCUCCUCCUCCUCCUCCUCCUCCUCCUCCACGAUUCCUCCCCGGGACUAUCUGGUCCUUCAACCACACCCGCAGGUUUGGCACCGGGAGGGAGUCGUGCGUCACGGGCCCCGGAGUCUCCUGGACGCACCCGGACGGUGUCGGGGUGCAGAUCGACACCAUCACACCGGAGAUCAGGGCUCUGUACAACGUGCUGGCCAAGGUGAAGAGAGAAAGAGACGAGUACAAGAGAAGAUGGGAGGAAGAGUACACAGCCAGAAUAGAUCUGCAGGACAAGGUGGUUGAACUGGAGGAGGAUCUGCAGGAGAGCGAGGUGUGUCAGGAUGAACUCGCUCUCAGGGUGAAGCAGCUGAAAGCUGAGCUUGUUCUCUUCAAAGGACUCGUCAGCAACAACCUGUCAGAUCUGGACAGUAAGAUCCAGGAAAAGGCCAUGAAGGUUGACAUGGAUAUCUGUCGCCGCAUCGACAUCACCGCCCGCCUCUGUGAUGUCGCCCAGCAGAGAAACUGUGAGGACAUGAUUAACAUCUACCAGCAGGUGGCCACGCCCCCCUCCACCUUGAACCGCCGGGCCAGGAAACACAGCGGCCAGUCAGCGAAGAAUGGGAACGGGGACGGAGACGAACUGAGCAUGUCUGAGAGCGAGGGAGGCGGGGCUAAAGACGAGGAGUCGUGCAGCUCGUCGGCCAAUCAGAUCAACGAGCAGAUGCAGAGGAUGCUGAAUCAGCUUAGGGAGUGUGAGUUUGAGGAUGACUGUGACAGCUUGGCCUGGGAGGAAACGGAGGAAACUCUUCUUCUGUGGGAGGAUUUUCCUGGAUACUCACUGGGAGUGGAAACACAGGGAGAGCUGCAGCAGCAGGAGGAAUCCAUCGAGAAGGUGAUUAAUGACACGGAGUCUCUGUUCAAAUCCAGAGAGAAAGAAUACCAGGACACCAUCGGCCAGAUAGAGUUGGAAUUGGCUACAGCCAAGAGUGACAUGAACCGUCACCUGCACGAGUACAUGGAGAUGUGCUCAAUGAAGAGAGGCCUGGACGUCCAGAUGGAGACCUGCAGGAGACUCAUCACACAGAGCGGAGAAAGGAAGUCCCCGUCUCUCAUCACACUGAACGACUCCGACAGCGAGGAGAAGGAGAGGAAGAAGCCGUCUCUCGCCACCGACUCUGACAGCGAUUCUUACUUCGAAGCCAACGCCGCCAUCCCUCCUCUGACCUGGAGGAAGCCCUAACACACACUGUUACACACACACACACACACACACACACACAUCCUGCUGGUCGUCAUGCCAACGCUCUUGUUAUCCUCUAGUGCUGUCUUCAUUAUUCUGAAAUCAGAGCCAGCAGAUGUCAUGAGUCUUUUCUUGAUCUUUAAGCUUCUCUGAGAGCAACCAGUCUGAUGUUGUUUGAUCAUUUUCACCGACUCAGUCAACAUGACAGCAGGUACAGGAACUAUAAGAUGACAAGUCCUCCAUCUAUCUACGCCCAAACUGCCUUAAAGAUAUCCAGUACUUGAGAAAAAUGACACCUUCUGAUUUAAAAAAAAAAGAACAGUUUUCCUGCAUCUGAAACGCCAAAGCUACCACUAAGGACGCUGAAGUCAUGUCCUCGGUAUUGUUUAUGGGAAUAUUUUAAUCAGUUUUGAGGUGUUUUUUUUGUUGUACAAUUACAAAUUACACAUGUUGGAUUUUUAAAAGGCUGAUUCUGAUAUUCUUUAGGGUCAAUAUCUUUAAAUGUGACUGUCUUUAUUGUUAAAAAUUAAGUGAAAUUACACUAAAAAGUUAAAUUUAGUUAAAUUCCGAGAAAUGUGGACUAAAUAUAAUGUGAACAUUUUUAAUUACCGACUUUUAGGGGUCUAACAGGAUUGUUCAGUGACCCUGACCACAUUCUUAAUAAUAAUCUUAUAUUGUAGUUAACGCAGACUCAACCCUGACACCAUCUGUAAACACUGUUACAUCAUUUGCAUGGAGAAAAGUUACCAAAGGUGCAAGAAUUUAUACAUUUGUUAUUUUAAACAGUUUUCACAGAGUCAGAAUCAAAAGCAAAGCCUGAGAAGUUUUUACUGUUUUUUUUUUUCUUUAAUUUUCUUUUUCUAUUAA